CAUAAAAAUACUAAGACACAAUAAAACACAUUAUUCCUGAAAUCCUCAUUUUUCUUCGACCGUGCGAUGGCCUCUCAGCUUCCCGAUUGUGAGGGCUGCAAGGAUGUUGUUCUUCUGAUCCUCACUUUCCUUCACAGAGAUCCCUUCAAGAUACUCUGGCUAUGACACGUAGGCAGGUGGUCAGGCUUUAUUAUGGCCGUCAAAACACCUACUUGAUGAUCUUUGUAGACUUUUAAUUAGAAUGUCUCGAUAUCCCCUCGUCACUCCGACUGAGUUGCACGCUUCAACCGGGUCCUGCAAGGAUUCUCAGGAUCUGGAGUAGCUUGCCAAGAGUCUGCUGCU
rnacentral:lncRNA from 1 species